GAAUUUCCACAUACCAUAUGGAAGAGUUCUUUCUGAACUUUUCUCUCAGUUAGAGAUAGUUAAUAGUGAUACUAUUGAAGUUGAGUGGAGUCAGAAUUUUGAAUAUGUGAAAUAAUCAUUUGUUGUCCUGUUUUUAAUUAAUGAAAUAUUUCCUUUCAUAUUAUUGCCUAUUCAUUUUUAUUGCUAACAAUUCUUUUGAGAAUUACUAAUUAACAAGAAAAAAAUAAAAAAAA
rnacentral:lncRNA from 1 species